AUUGAACGCUGGCGGCAGGCCUAACACAUGCAAGUCGAGCGGAUGAAGGGAGCUUGCUCCUGGAUUCAGCGGCGGACGGGUGAGUAAUGCCUAGGAAUCUGCCUGGUAGUGGGGGCUAACGUCCGGAAACGGGCGCUAAUACCGCAUACGUCCUGAGUGAGAAAGUGGGGGUUCUUCGGACCUCACGCUAUCUGAUGAGCCUAGGUCGGAUUAGCUAGUUGGUGGGGUAAAGGCCUACCAAGGCGACGAUCCGUAACUGGUCUGAGAGGAUGAUCAGUCACACUGGAACUGAGACACGGUCCAGACUCCUACGGGAGGCAGCAGUGGGGAAUAUUGGACAAUGGGCGAAAGCCUGAUCCAGCCAUGCCGCGUGUGUGAAGAAGGUCUUCGGAUUGUAAAGCACUUUAAGUUGGGAGGAAGGGCAGUAAGUUAAUACCUUGCUGUUUUGACGUUACCAACAGAAUAAGCACCGGCUAACUUCGUG
rnacentral:rRNA from 1 species